AUUGAACGCUGGCGGCAUGCCUUACACAUGCAAGUCGAACGGCAGCACGGGAGCAAUCCUGGUGGCGAGUGGCGAACGGGUGAGUAAAGUAUCGGAACGUGCCCAGUCGUGGGGGAUAACGUAGCGAAAGUUACGCUAAUACCGCAUACGAUCUAUGGAUGAAAGCGGGGGAUCGCAAGACCUCGCGCGAUUGGAGCGGCCGAUAUCGGAUUAGGUAGUUGGUGGGGUAAAGGCUCACCAAGCCGACGAUCUGUAGCUGGUCUGAGAGGACGACCGGCCACACUGGGACUGAGACACGGCCCAGACUCCUACGGGAGGCAGCAGUGUGGAAUUUUGGACAAUGGGCGCAAGCCUGAUCCAGCCAUGCCGCGUGCAGGAUGAAGGCCUUCGGGUUGUAAACUGCUUUUGUACGGAACGAAAAGGUUUGGCUUAAUACGUUGAACUCAUGACGGUACUGUAAGAAUAAGCACCGGCUAACUACGUGCCAGCCGCCGCGGUAA
rnacentral:rRNA from 1 species